AUGACUCUCUCCAGGAUUCGGCUGUCACACCUUUAAAGUGGAAUGUGUCUGAGGAAGAUUAUGAUAAUUGCUGACAUUUACAGAGUAUUUGCUACGCGACAUUCUGCUAAGUGCUCUCCCCCCAUUAGGUCAUAUAGUCUUUACGUUAAGUCUGUGACAGAUACAAACAUAAAAUUAUCACCCCCAUCUUACCCAAGAAGGAACUGAGAUUCAGAGACGUUAAGGAGUUUGCCCCAGGAGACAGAGGUGGCAAGUGGCUGAUCUCGGCUUUAAACCCGGUCUGUCCCACCCCGAGCCUUGUGGCCACUCCGAGGCCAGCCUGGCAAAGCUGCGAAGCCGCCGUCUUCAGCCGCCCCUCUCUGAGCUCAGCAGCCAGUUAUCUCAGCCUUACUGCGCCCCCCAGGCUCCCACCUGGUCCAGCGUGCGGACAACAGAACCCACAACAACAAUGUCACAGACACUUCCAUUUCCAGGGUCUCCAAGGGACAAUCUCCUUUCGACAAAUUGAUAGAGAAUGCGAAAAAAACAAAUGCCAGCACUUUAAAAAGCAAUAUGGAAAAGCUUAUGCAGUCACAGGGCUGUAAAGGCGGUGGGGGAAGCGGGUGCACACACACGCACACACAGGCGCGUGCACAUGCACACACGCACGCGCGCGCGCACACACGCACACACACGCACACACUCUACCAGGAGGGCAGGGGUGGGGGGGAGACGGGCCCUCCAUCCCCGCAGUUCUGGGACUGCGUGCCAGCCAAGCCCGGGUAAACACAGGAAUCCAGCGGCCAAGCCCUCGGGCACGUUCAUUAAUUAAACUCCAUGGAUGCACUCCGUUCCCGGAAACCUCCACUCAUUUCAGUAAUAAUUGGAGGCGAACCAGCUCGGGCUGUAAAAACAGCAUGUGAGGGACUCAGCCUUGCCCGGCGGAGAACAGGAGACAGACCGGGCCUGGGGUGAGGUUCUGGAUUCCAGGCCUGCGUCCAAGGCGCUGUGUGACCUUGGCCAAGUCAUUUCUAUCUCUGGGCCUCAGGCCCCUUCUCUGAACAAUGGGAAGGCAGCCCAGACCAGAUGGAGAGUUCCUCUUCUGGAAUCUCGGGGCCUCUCAGGUUGUCCCAUCAAGGCCUGGGGGGGAGUGAGUUACACACCCAUACAUGGACCGUCCUCUCCACCCAAUAAAAACAGGACGGAAGGAACGGACACCGACUUCACAAAGGCAGCUUGGAGAACGGUCUUUUAAUGAAAGCCAGUGUAUGUAAUUCUAGAGGGGAAAAAAAUGGCUGGGCGCAUUUCCCAACGUGUGUUAUGCAAGAUACCCAUCUAGGCGCAAGGCUUUGUGAAUUCUGUGGUCAAUGCGCGUCGCUGAACUCCUCCAUCUGGAGCCACACUUCCCCCCGAGAUCUGGCAGUUCUGAAAGUGGCGAGUACAUUUCCCCGCAGGGAGACAUCCCCCAUUCAAGUCAGCGAGCAAAUCGAUACCACUCCUCCCGAUGGAGAUCUCAGACACACAGGAUGCCAAGGGCCAUCGCUGGAGGUUCCUAAUGUAUAUUUGCAUAAGCAAAGGCUCUGAAAAGUCCUGUAUUAAAACCCCUGUUUAACCAAGUGAUUCUUAAAUGUAUUAUCUCUGGUGUUCUUUACUUGUGGAACGCCCAUCCACGUGGUAAGUGGAGCAAAAAAGAAUUCUGGGAAACUCCCAGUCUGGAAAAGUGAGGGGGGAAAUCAGUAAUAGGGGUCCUCCGUGGUGACAAGCAGGGGGUGGCUGGCUGGACAUGGGUCUCAGGUCCCUGUCCGCCCUGAUGUCCAGGGAACACGUGUGUGAAACGUCCACCCUUUUACUCCUCAACCUCACAAAAGGUACCACUCAUAUGCGUCUCCCGUCCGUCCCAGCAGUGUCCCUCACAGAUAAGGAAACCGAGGCUCUGAGAGGUGUAGGGACUUGCCCAAGGUUGCACAGGAGCCAAGUGCAGCCCUGGGAUUCGAUCCUGGGUCCGUCUUACUCCGAAGCCUAUGGUCUUUCGGUUACGCUGCCUGACCCUGCGGUUCUCAGCCCUGGUGGCACCUGGGGGGCCUCAGAGACGCCCGCUUCCUGGACAGCAUCCCAGACCAAGCUUGAGAGGUGGGGCCCAGCCACCAGCAUUUUUUGAGAACCUCGGUUCGCCAACAAUGGUUUGCAAAUUGGGAGGCUGAGAGCUUUACCGGAGUGAAGGUUUUGGAAACAUCCCAAAUCCCGCUUACGAUGCUAUGCGUCUUUUUAAACCGCAUUGAUUUAAAACAAAUGGGGGUCCAAGAGGGAGCAAGUGUGUCUGCUUUUUUUUUUUUGAACAGCUUGACUGAAAUCGAUUCUUGGAAUGAUGCAAACAGCAUUUGUAACCAUCUCCCAAGCAAUAAUAAUAAUAGCCACCCCCACCCCCACCCCCGGAACCGAGGCUAAUGGGCGCUCCAGGGAGGGCACUGCUCUGAGCAAUUUUCACGCAUCACCUCGGUCAUCCUCAGAGAUGAGCCCCCGUCACCUCCUUUCGGAGGAAGAAUCCGGGGUGCAGAGGGACAGAGUAACCUGCCCACGGCCACCUGGCCGGGAGGGGGCAGAGUGGGGAUCUGACCCCAGAACCAGUCUGCCCCACAGCCCGAGGUGCCUCAGGGAGAAAAGGGAUGGCGUCACCCUGUUCUCGGAUGGCAGGGAGCAGACUGUGUCUCCAGGAACCACGGGGCCCUCCCUGAUCCCGCCCCACAUAACAACAAAACAGGACACGGGCGACAGGCGGGCAGGCGGCCAGGGCCGAAGGCGGGCCCCAGCGCUGAAUGGUUUCCCAGGAUGACAUCAGCCUGAGCCGGUGCAAAUGGCCCCUUCACCUGACCAGCCACACAGCCAGGGGCCUAGGGGGACCUCCUCCCCUCCUCGAGGGAGGGGAUGAGCAGCCUGCGCUGCCCGUAGGGCCCUGGAGGGAGGGGAGCAAGCCGAACCAAAGACCCGAACCACAGCAGGUGCCCUCAGGCGGCAGGGGCCUGCUCAGGCCCGGGGGCCAGGGCGGCACUGGAGGCUGACGGGGACCAGCAUGCUGAGCGUCUCUUGGGCUGCAGGCAGGGCCCUGGACUCAGCCCUCGAGGGCUGGACGACACCAGCUGGGACCACGGCAAGGGACCCAGCACUCGGGCUUGGAAGCCAGACUCGGGACAGCCCCGGCCGCUGGUUGCCGUGUGUCAUGGGCAAGAUGCUAGCCCUGUCUGAACGCCUCCUCGUCUCUGAUGGAGGGCACUGGAUGGCACCACGGCCACCGUUUUCCACGUUCCCUUUCCUUUGUCAGCUUAAAAUAAAAAAUCCCAUUACGCAAAAUUACAGAAGUCCAGUAAAUUACAAAGAUCGAGAGCAACCCAGGUUUGGGGUGUGGCGGGAGAGAUGUGGGGUCCCUGGGCUCGCCUCUCUCCCCCUGGUCCCCCGUCCCCAUGAAGCCCACUAGCAGAACAUGUCCAGAAGCUUCCGCGCCUCCCACAGUCCGCAGGUGUGGGACGCUAGGCUUCUGUUUGCCUGGGAGGGACAGGUUUGGAGGGUGGUAGGGAGAGGGGCCCCCGCCCAGAGGAGGCGUCCCCUGUGCUGCAGGUGCCAGGGAGGCCCCUGGCGGUGCCCGAGCUCUGAGGGGAGGCCCAGCCCCACGGGGAUCCUGAGUGGAGAGCUCAUCGGGGUGCCCGUGACCCCUCACCCCCAUCUCUGUCUCCUCCACCCCAAGAGCACAGCAAGUCUUCUUUGGCCAUUCGCCUUUACGGGGUCUCUGCAAGGUGUCUGGGUUUCCACAGUGUGACCGCCCUCCUGGGUGCACUCCUAUUUCACACACUUAUGUAACAGCUGAUCACAUUAGGCAACGAUGGUGACAAACACAGCCGGCACAAACAGGUUUGGGAUCAAACCCAGUGGAUCUCAGAGCUCAUUCAUUCAUUCACUCAUUCAUUCAAGAAGUGUUGAGUGGCAGCUAAGGAGGGCAGAUCAGAAGGGGCGUGAAGGAAUUUUCUAGGGGGAUGAGGACGUUCUAGACCUCGAAGGAGGUGUGGGUUGCAUGGGUGUGUGCGUUUGUCAAAACUCGUCAAGCUGUAUGCUUAAGAUAUGUGUGUUGCUGUAUGUAAAUCGUCCCUCCAAAGUAUUUAUUUAUGAUAUUUCACACAUUUAUUUAGAACACUCUUAUAACACAGCAGGGAAUAUAAAAAUGUUAGUAUCCACACUAAGCAUUUUUCAGAGCCAACUAUACGCCAGGCACUGUCCUCGGUGCUUCGCAAAUGUCAACUGAUGUAUUCUUCACGACGACCCCAGAAGUACCGUUUUAAUCCCCAUUUUAGAGAUAAGGAACCCGAGGCCCAGAGGCAAGAAUUGACCUGCCUGUGUCCCACAGCCAGCAGAGUCUGUGCUUUGAGCCACUAACUAGCCUUCUCUGACUCUCGACAAACCAGGGAGAACCCCCAUCCUCAUGGUAUUUACGAUCUUGAGGGGGAGACAUCACAGCACGGUGGCGACUCCGCUCUCAGGAGCAGAAGUGCACAGAAGCAGCGAGGAGAAGCCCCAGGCCCGGUAUCAAGGGCCUGGCCGCUUACUGUGUGUCUCCCUCCUGCCCGACCCCGUGGGGUGACCACGUGGGUAAACGCAUGUCAGGUCCGUGAACCGGCCCAGCCCCGUGCCUGGCACACAGCAGGUCCGUAACACAGGUGAGCUGAAUAAAUGAGCAGAGAUGGCAUCCACGUCAGAAUGCGAGGCCCUCAGAAGCGCCCUGGGGCCCCUCGUAUGAGUUCAGACAGGGUCCAGAUUAGCUCUGGGGACGGUGCUUGACCCCAACCCCACACGGCCGAGCCAACAACGACCUGUGAGCCCAGCAGAGCCCUGAGAAUCUUGGGGUCCAGAGAGAUGGCUCGUGGUGGGGGGUGCAGAGAUGGGGCAGGGGCACCCACAGAAAACCCCAGUGGCCCGGAGGGUACUAACUAGGGGAGUAAGAACAAAGCGGGACUUUCUCAGGGUCAAGGACUGACGAUGGUGUCCUUGAGACGUGACUGCCACAGGCCCUGAGUCUUCUGGGGUCCUCAGAGAGGAAGCCGCGACCCUGUGGGGACACUUUGCUGUGGAACAAGGAACUCCGACUUACAAUCCAGGCCCUCUCUAAACCAUGUCCUAGCAAGAAAGCACGGCUCCACCGAGUCCUAGUCUUCCAGCCCACAGACUCGGCCGGCGGCCCCCCAGGAGCUUAGAGUCCAUUCAUGCAUUCGUCUCUGUAUUCAUGCAUUCACCCACCAGAUAUUUACUGAGGGUCACAAACGUGCCGGGCGUACUGUCGGGCUCUGAGGACGCGAAAGGCACACACUUCUCAGUAUCGCUUUGGGGUCUAGCAAGAACUGCUAGAAAGAAUUUUGAACAGGGUGUGGAGACACAUCGAUGAGCAGAGCAGGAGUGUUGACAAUUCGUGCGGCCAUUCAUUUGUUCACUCCUUCAUUCAUUCCACAAGACGUUCAUUAGCGCAAAUACACAGCGUGCCCUGCUGUGAUGGCAUGCCAUCCCUGAGGGCCGGGACCAUCUAUCUUGAUCCCCAGGGCCUCCAACUGUGCCUGGCACACAGCAGGUCCUCAACAAAUAUUUGCUGACUGAGCGAACUGCUCAGGGAUUGUUCCUCGAAGGCUGGUGCCCAUGGGACCGUCUCCACCUGGGGCCCAGGCUACACAGGCAGAUUCUGGGGCCCACUUCAGAUGGGUAAUACCCCCCCUCGGGGACUCUUCUCACUGAACCAGUACCCAAGGCCCCCAAAGUCUGAGCUCAAUCCUCGCCGUUUUAGCCCCCUUGCAUCCAAGGGGCCCACAGCUUAAAGAAGUCAGGCCGAGGUCCAAGACAGCGGAAGUGGCGACACCAGGAUUCGAACCCAGGCCCCCGACUCUCCCAACUCUCGCGCUGGUUCCUCCGCCCCCACCUUGGCAGGCAGGCCCCACUGAAGCAGCACCAACUCUUCCCCACAAUUCAGCUCAGAAACCUGGGAGGAUGACAUUCUCCCCCCACCACGGCACUGGGUUGUUGAAAAUCCACGGGGCUCCACGACGUAUGAAAAGAUUAGGGACCUCAUUAAGCGGAGCUCUGACAGCCUCGCCUUUCUUUCAUCCCUCCCCCAAAAGGGCUGGUAUUUAUGCACGAACAAAGAAAAACACAUCCAAGGAAGGUGAUGGAAAAUCUCCAGCCGCUCUGCACUCUGUCAUCUAUCAGAACACCUUAUUUACCGCCUUUCCAAUCAGCGGUGGCUGUUAAUGACCCCAGCAGGCUUUGAUCAUCCAGUAGCAACCCCGUGGGGGGGCUGGGGGGGCUGAGAGUGGAGUGUCCUGCAGUGGGGGUGGGGGCCAAGUGGGAGCUCAGGAGGCUGGCAGGGCGGCGGGGGCCGCUGCCUCUGUCAGGGUCGCCCAGGCCCACCGGCUCUUCCUCCUUCCCCGGACAACUGAAGUACCUGGGGGAGCGGCAUUCUGGUGGGAAAACAGCACAGUUUUAAGGAGCGGCUUAACCUGCUUCACCCUCCACCGGAGCCCCUGGCCCUCUUCUGUCCUUGUAGGCGGAGGGAAGGGGGUGCACAAAGGUGGGAGGAGGGACCGUGAUCCUGGAGCUGUGAGCAGCCCAGGGGGUCCAGGGAAGCAAAGAUGAUGACUACGCCCUGGCUCCUGAGCGCUCGCUGCGUGCCGGGCACUCUGCUGGCAUCUUACGCUCCUUACCACGCAGAAUCCUCCCCACCACGAGAUGAGCGUUAUGAUUCCCUUUUUACAGAUGGGGAAACUGAGGCCCAGAACCAGUGCUCUAGAGAAGAGGUCGGCUCAAGCUGCGCAGCUGGGACACGCCUCUUGACCGCUUUUCUGAAAACUUCCCAAAGGCGGGAACUGCGUCUCUUCAUGGUUCAUGUCUCUUGCAGCUGACUGCAGUUUGCAGACAGUAGGAGCUCAAUAAACAACUGCCGCUCAACGCUGAAGGACAUCAAGGUUGAGAACGGCAUGGCCUCUGAAUGUCCCAACUCUGAAUUUAGAAACCCAAGCUCCAGUCCUGGAUCUGUCACCCACUUGCUGUGUGACUUUGUGAGGGUCUCUUUCCCUCUCUGGGCCUUGGCUUCCCAAGCUGUAACAUGAAAGAGGUCGACUGGAAUGAUCUAGGUGUUCUGACAGUCAAGGCGCAGGAGCGGCUGUCGGAAGAGGAGCUCCACGCCAGCGUCCUGCCCCUUGGCGACCUGCUCACACUUGCUCCCAGGGCUCGUGUACAAACUCAUGGAUAAUGAAGCUCCGUUCACCCAGCAUCCACCAGGGUGGCUGCCUUUGUACACUCUUCAAACCCAGCACCAGAGAUUCCAGAACCUUCCAGGCACUUCCUGCCAAGAUGUCUGCAGUGGGUGGGGAGGCAGCUGCCUCAACACGGCCCCCCUCCACCCCUCACCUUCCCCAGAGCAGAAGGCAAUUGCCAAGAGGAAAAGAACAUAAUCCUGGCUACUAAUUGAGGAAUUACAGAUACUAAAUUACAGGUGUGCCCGGGGAAGGGCGGUUUCUAGAAAUCAGGCCAGUGAGUGACAGGAAUGUGGGCUGCCGGCUAAUUUCUGGCUUUGGCAGAAAGCAAAUAUUUAGAAACAGGGCCCAAAGACACAGGACUGGGAAUUCAACAGACCGUGAAAAGGGUCUUCGAAGGCUAGGAAAUACGGCCCUGUGGCACCCGUGUAACAGGUCAUAACCAGAACGACAGGAAAGCUCAGACUGUGUGCCGAGUGCCAGGCCCGGGCACCUGAUGAGCAUCUCGUGACAUCCUCAUAACAACUCUAUCAGUAGACACUAUUUGCUCCGUUACGUAGUUAAAGAAAAACGUUUUAUCAGAGCGGAAAGAGUUGCCCAAAAAUACACCGGGAAUCAAAGGUUUCUGACCUAAAACUUAGGAAAUUCCAAACUCCUACUCCUAAUGUUUUGGCUUCACUCGCAGUCUGCCAGCUAAGGCCACAUGGGUCCCCAGGGCCUGGCAGGGGUUUCAAUGCACAUCUCUUGGCUCCGUGGUUCUCAACUGCGGGCAAUUCUGCCCCCAAGGGACAUUUGACAAAGUCUGGAAACGCUGGACAGAGCCCAGGGAUGCUGCUGAACACCCUACAAGGCACAGGACAGCCCCCACACCAAGAACGACCGGGUGCCAAAUGCCAAUGUUGCCGUGGUGUGAAACCCUGGUCUACACCGCGGUGCCUUGCGGGAGAGGCACCCCAGGCCCCUCCGCCCAUCGCCCCGAUGGGGAGGACAGGAAGUGAGGCAGCGGCAGACCUGGGCUACAGUCCAGGUUGCGAACACGGUGACUCUGAGCAGGUCACGACUUCUCCCCGAGCCUCGGUCUUAUCCUCUGUAAAACGGGGAUGAUGAAAAUAACACCUCCCUCAUGGGGUGGCUGCAAGGAUGCGAUGAGACCACGUGCUGGCACAUGGGAGGUGCUCAAGGUGUGUGACUCUUUAAGCCUUAAUUCCCCCACCUGUGAAAUGGGACAACAGCCUCUGCCUUGGUGCCACCCACGAGGUUCUUCCCUCUGACACUGAAGUCCCAUUUUCCCAGGUGGCCUUACUACAAGAUGCCAACAGCCUGGAGCGGCAGCAGCUGCAGAGAGCCACUGGACCAGCGGUGGCCUGUGCGUGAGCAAGAGAGAAACGUUUUUUGCAGGGGAGGUGGGGGGAGUUGAGAGCCGGCAGCUUGUCACAGCAGCCUAACACACCCUAAUCCAACUCAUACAUCAAGGUCAUAAGGAGAACACCAGCAGCUAACACUUAUUAGGCACCUUCUAGGCUCCAGGCCCUGUGUAAGUAGCUCAGAGGGAAUCUGAGGCUCACAGAAGUAAAGUCACCUGUCCGGGAUCCCACAGCUAGUUAGUGGCAAAGCUGGGAUUCAAACUCAGAUCUCUCUGAAGGGAGAGUCACGCUCUUAACCGACUGACUUAAUUCUACCCGCAUCCUUUUUUUCUCCAUCAAGAAAGGACAGCCAAAGACACCAAAUCCAUGUUUAAAAGGCAAAAGUAAAAACUGUCCACAAACUUUGCAACUGUUAAUUCUUGGUGACAGCUAUGUUUUAGGACCCUCCCUUCAACGGAGCAGGACGAUCCAAGAGGACUCCUCUGACCUAGAAACUGAUGCUGGAGAAAAGCCAUGCGUGGGUACCAUGCCUACGGCCCAGCCUUGACGAUGAAUGUUUGAUGACUUCAAUGGGGUGAUGAUGAGCACUUAGGAUCCACGAAAUGGACUGCAUCCCGUGCCAGGAGACUCAUGCCAACUCCUAAAAGGGUGAGUUGCUCACAAGCCCCUGGGACCCUGAACCCAGCUGGCCGAGCAGCCUGCUUUACGAGAAAGAGCCCCUGAGACGGGAACGCCAACGGCCCCCACGUUCCAGACCUUGGGUGGGCACCUAGGUUCUUCCCGCUUCCACUGACUCAUCCGUGAGAUGAGGGAUUAAGUGGACACCACUGGCCAUCCUCUGACUGUCUGCUGUGGUUGGGACCAACGAGAAGAAACCUGUAUUAGUUAUCUGUGGCUGUGUAACAAAGAGCCCCAGACUUAGUGGUCCUAAACAACAAACACUUAUUAUCUCUCACAGCUUCUGGAAGUCAGGAUGUAGGGGGGCUUGGCUGAGUGGUUCUGGCUCGGGGUGUCUCCCAGGCUGGAUUCGAGCUGUUGUCUGGGGGUGCAGCUCCAGCUGCAGGAUGCAGGAGCCACUUGAAGCUCGCUCCCAUGGUGCUGGCGGGUUUCAGUUCCUUGCCACGUGGGCAUCUCGAUAGGGCUGGUCAAGUGUCCUCGAGACAUGGCAGCUGGCUUCCCCAGAGCAAGCGCUCCAAGAAAGGGGAACAGAGACUGGGAGGCAAGCUGUGGUGUCUUUUGUGACCUGGUCUCAGACAUGACAGUAUCACCCUUGCUGUGUUCUACUGGUCACUGGUGACUGAAUGUGCCUUCCAACUAUGAAACACCAAACAAACGACGACAAAGGUAAGAAACCAUUUAUGGAGAUCCCACAAUGCACCAAACCCUGUGCUAAACGUUCCACAUGCAUCACCUCCACGCCAUCUCCACCACAGCUGUGGUGUGAUGCGGUGUCAUGGGCCCAUCUUACAGAAGCGGAAACAGAGGCACAGAGACUACGUGGCCUCUGACUCAAAGGCACGUGGCAAGCGAGAGGCAGAACCAGGACUCGGCCCAUGGCUCCCAGACCCCACACCUCACACUCUUAUCAAACAGUGGGGUGCUGGAGCUAGCCUGUCCUGGCUCCCAGGAGACAGCUGUGACAUUUUCAGGAGCCAGUAGUUAAACACAGCCAUUACUAAAAAAUAAAUUACAUGAACUUACAAUUAAAUAAAUCAUAUUAAAAGCAAAGAUGAGAAAUAUUCAAACUGCAGCCCCUCCUCAUUACUACAUUGUACUAUUAGCUACGGUCUUGAGGUCACCUACGCAUCCUGAAUCUGUACGGUACAAAUCUACACCAUCGUGACGUCCUGAGCAUCUUUUCCCAGCUCUGUGUGGGCCUCCCUUCUGGGCCUCAGUUUGCCCAGUGGUGGCUAGUUGGUGGCUUCCAAUGGGCCCUGGUCGGGGUAUUGACAGCACAGGAACAGAAAACUGCUCCAUCCAAAGGCUGGCUUGUUGACCCUUCACCCGCAGACCACCGUAACUAACCCAAACACCAUUUCCUCUCGGGGGGAGGGAUCUUGAUGACUCCUUGCUAAAGACCUCAUUCUUCACGAAAUCCAAAAAUACAACAUUCUCUGUGAUAUGGAUCAAUCCAGAUUUCCUUCCUGAAAUUUCUGACUUCCCGACGAGGAAACGAGAGGCACUUGUCUGAACAAAACAUCUGAGACUGGAAAAUGCUGAAAAAUGGAGAGAUGGUGAGAGUGAGGGAGGGCCCUGGGAUCACGCAGACAGAAAGGAGCUUGUCUAAACCCGGACCUCUCAGAAGUCAAGACAAAGAUGUGCACGCCUGAACCCCGCCCGGCAGAGUCAUUCCUGGCAGCCAAAACCACGGGCCACGACCCAAACGUCCAGCCAGAGGGGUUAACAAAUGAUGGAGCAUGCAAAGACCAGCACGCUGCACGGGCAUCGAAAAUGGUGUUUACUGAAGACAUUUAAAACUGUUAGGUUUUUUUUAAAGACUAGAAAGAACAGAAGGUUGGCAGUUUUGUCUGAGAACGGGAGGAAAAAAGACAGGAAGGAAAGGCAUCUGAAUGCCAAGAGUGGUUUUCACCAUGUUAGAAUAAUGGGUGGAUUUUGUUUUUGUUCAGUUUUUCUGUGCUUUCCAAAUAUGACAUGAGCACGCCCCACUUUUUCCCCCGGGCGGAGGGGGGAGGAGAUGAUUCCACACAGAGAGCCUGUGCAGCCGUGUCCUGCCCUGCGCGUCACUCAGGUCUCUCCCAGAGGCCCCAGCCCAGCCUCUGGCUGGACCCGUGAAGGGCCCAUUGUUCUCCGCUGAUAUCACGCUGCUGCCUGAAGGCCCAAAAAGGAGAACUGGGACUGCAUGUGGCCAGCACACAAGACAGAGGCCAUCCCCUGGCCAGCCACAGCGUGGCGGAGCGGGCAGCGACCUCACUUAAGUCCAGCACCCCAGCUCCACGCCCUGAGGGCAGCCUGAGGCCAGGACACCUAGUGGGGCUCUGGGCGGGCAGUGGCAGGCAGGAGGGGUCAUGGCAGCUGGACGUUUCUCCAGGAGAAAUGGGACCACCUGUGGCUGACACACAGUAGGCCUUCCAAUACUACCAGAGCUGCCAGGCCCAUCACCACCUGGCCUCGCCUCCCUGAACUCACCUUCUACCCCUCCCGCUUACUCACUCUGCCACAGCCGUCUGGCCUCCCUGCUGCUCCUCAAAUGUGCCAGGCACAGGUUGCCUCAGGGUCUUUGCACCUGCUUUUCCUGCUGCCGCAAUGUUCUUCCUCCAAAAUUCUGAAGGCUCAGUCCCUCGCUUCCUUCAGGUCUCUGCUGAAACGUCGCCCCCUGAGACGAGUCCCUCGCCACCCUUCCUAGUGCCCGCCAGCCAGGCCCCGCACCCACUGUUUGCCAGAGCACUAGAAUGACCUGAGACUAUCUGUUCAUUCAUUCAUUGACUUCUUCGUUUAUUGCAUCACCCUGUUCCUGUGAGCCCUGGGGGCAGGGACCCCUCUCCCGGCACACUGAGAUCCUGGAUAAAAAAAACCCUCAGGAAUGAGCAAAUGGUUUUCAUCACCAUUACAUCUCAGGUUUUCCAUCCUGCGUUGCCCCGGGCUGGCAUCUUGUGGUCAGCUCUUAGAAGGCGUGUGCCAGGGCCAAGUCACUUCUCCCUUCUGGGCCUCAGUUUGCCCAUCUAUGAAAUGAGUGGACAGCACAAUAAAGGAGAGUGGGUUUCAGGGAGCAGGCAGGACAUAAGCUCCUAGACAUGCCGGACGCUGUUCCCAGCAGAGGGAACCAUGUGGGCAAAGGUUCCAUGUCCAGAAGGAGUGCACGUUGACUGGCGAAGAGCAGGAGGUCAGAGUGGCAGGAGUAGAGUGAGCCCAGAGGACAGCAGUAAGAGCUGAGGUCGAGAGAGAGGCAAGGGAGACCCCACGGGGCCCUGCAGGCCGCAGUAAGAAGCUGGAGUUUCCUAAGUCUGGGGUGAGGCAGGGGGAUGACUUGGCCCCUGGGGUUGCUGGGUGGAGAAUGGACUGGAGGGGAAGGGGCUAGAGUGGAAGCCGGGAGGAGGAUGUAGCAGGUUGAAUAGUGGUCCCCAAAAGACACGUCCACAUCCUAACCCCGGGCACCUCUCAGUGUGGCUUUAAACGGAAAAAAGGUCCUCGCAGAUGUCAUCAAGUUAAGGAUCUCAGGACAGGAUCAUGGUGGAUUACCCACUGGGCCCUGAACCCAAUGACCAGGGUCCUUGUAAGACACGGAGGAGAAGAUGAAGAAGAGGAGGAGCCAUGUGAGGAUGGGGCAGAGACCGGAGGGACGCAGCACAAGCCGGGGACACCUGCAGCCUCAGAGGCUGGAAGAGGCACAAGGGCUCGUCCCCCGGAAUUCCAGGGAACUGACGGCACCUAGAUCUUGGACUUGUGGCCUCCAGGACCGUCAGAACAUAUCUCCCUUGUUUUCAGCCACCAAGUUUUGUGUUAAUUUAUUAAGGCAGCUGGAAGACACGAACACCAAGUGGGUAAUGAGUGAAAUCGGGGCUUCCAAAGACGAGAGCCACAACCGUCCCUUCCCUUUCAAAUUCUCUCCCACUUGCUAAAAAAAGAGGGAGGGAGGGAGUGUGUGUGUGUGUGUGCGCGUGUGUGUGUGUGUGUGUGUCGGGGGAGACGCUCAGCCCUGCUGAAUAUUUUAAGUAUCCAUUUCAACCCAUAAUUGAUGCAGAACCAAAUACUCCCACGCAGCCUCGGCUGUUGGACUGAACACUCAGCGCGGCGCCGACGCUCGCACAGUGAAUCCCCAGUGCAGGGCGAUGUCGUGGGCCCGCCGAGGCGAACACAUGGCAGGGCUGGAGCCCCAGCCUCACCGAUCCCCGCUGUGUGGCCCCAGGCCUGUGACUUCACCUCUCUGUGCUUCAGAUUUUUCAUCCAGGAAAUACGGGGCCGCCACCAUCUCCUUCAGGGGCAGCUGUGCAGAUUCGACGAGACGGGCUCCUGGCAAGCAGGAUGUGCUUGAUGAAGAAAACCUCUGCUGGCUGCGGGCGGAGAAGCGCCGGAAGGAUUCUCGGCUCCGGGAGGCGAGGUGUCGGAAGGACGCGGCGCGCUUGAAGGGGGUCCGGCCACCGGAGGGCUCCCCGCUCGGCCGCUCGGGGCCCACCGUGCUGGUCACUAAAUUGAGGGCCUCCUGGAAGGACCUCCUGACGGUGCCCAUCCACUGGGUCAUGUGGGUCUGGGCCACGGAGAGCUUGUCCCCCAGGGAUCCACCCCUCCGUGUUACAGACGAGGAAAUGCAGACCCAGAGACGUAGAUUCAAGUGCCCAAGGUCACACAGCCAGGGUAGCACGGGGGCACGGACAGAGACCGCUCCCUCCCCACUGUUUUCUGGGUCUGACACGGUGCCUGACCCAGGGCUGGAGCUUGGUAAAUAUUUAUUGUUCGAACGCCGAGUCCAAGACUGAAACCUUGACAGGUCGCACGGCGUCCUGAGGGCUCUCUCCCACCCACGUCACCUCAGUGUUGAACAAAUAUUUGCUCCCUCGUCACUGAUCAAAGGGCCUCACUUGAGAACGACUCUCACGGGAGCGUGUCUGACAAUGCAGCUGACACAGAUCUUUUCUUCUCUGGAUUCCCAGUCCCUAUGCCGCUCAUUCACUUGUUCGCUCACUCAUUCAUUCGCUUAAACACUCAGAGCCUGCCUGCUCUGGGCCAGGCACCGGACGCAGAGCCUGAACCGUCCCUGUCGUCGUGGGCUCGCAGCUGGCAGGACAACGGAACGGUGGCCAACACUUAUGGAGGGUGUAGCUGGGUCUCCGAGGCCAUUCUAUGUGUUCAGGGGAUUAACUCGUGAAUCCCCAAUGAACCCAUCUGACAGAGGCGGAGACUGAGGCCCAGAGAGGUGACGUCACCCUCCAAGGUUGUCCAAUGUGGCGGGCAGCCUCCAAGACGGCCCCAGUGAUCCUUGCCCUGUUAUUCACACCCUGGUGCGGUGCCCUCCCACGACGAAUCAGGGCUGUCUGUGUGCCCAAGAGGAUAAGGCAGAAGUGAGGGUGUGUGACUCCCAAAGCCAGGUCAUUGAAGGCAUGAGAGUUCUCGCCUUGCUCUCAGAUCACCCUGGGGGCAGCCGGCCGCCAUGCUGGGUGGAUGCUCCAGCAGCCCUGUGGAGAGGCCCACCUGGAGGGACUCUGAGGGCCCAGCCACCAGGCAGCACGCACUCGCUAGCCAUGGGAGUGAGCCGCCCUCCAUCCUAGGUCAGACCCUCAGAUGACCACUACCCCAGCCGACACAUUGACUGCAACCUCGGGAGGGACCCGGGGCCAGAGCCCCCAGCCAAGCUGCCCCACAGAAGCCACAAGAGAUGCAGACGUCAGAGGCAGGAUAGUGCCUGGCCCAUAAGGAAGCCAAGGACCGGGGCAGAAUGGGGGGAGACAAAAGGGAGGGCGACAAGGGGCUCUCGCGGCAGCCUGUGGGUCCCAUAUAUUAGGAAGCACCAACCCAUCAUGCAGAGGAGGAAGUGUGCACGGGCCCAUGUCCCGCCUGCAUAGUGUCUGGCCGCACCCAUCACCUCGACAGCCUCCAGCGUCCCAGGGCUUCUGAUUCUCCCGUGUCCUCGCAUGGAGGGUCCUCAGUCAGCCUCCCGCAGCAGGCAGGUCACUCACAGCCCUGUUCCCUCACCCGGAGGGCCAGGGGACUUCCAGGUGGGAGCAUUCCCGACAAAGAGCGAGUCCUCCCCACCCAGGCCCAGGAGAGCGGCACGGGAAAUACCUACAGAGCUAGAAAGGGAUGCGGCUUUUUAAACAGACCUUCUGGACACAGAGAUGGGAGGUCACCUGGGAAGUGCCGGGAGGAAAAAAGUCAAAGCAAAGCACCUUUAAAAUGAGACUACCCGGUGGUGGCCAGGCUGUGGGGAAAGAGACACGCAGCCCACAGCAGAUGGAAAUGGACAUCGGUAUAUAUUUCAUGAAGGGAAUUGAACACCCAACAUCAAAAGUCUUAAAAGUGAUGGCCUGUCAGUUAAUAACACACACGCUGAGGCGUGGGGCGGACACGUGCUGAUGCCUCUUACUUACUUUGAAAUGCAGCAAAAAUUUUUUUUAAAUGUAUUAAGGGAUGGAUGGAUGGCUAGAUUUUUAUGAAGCAAAUCUAGCAAAAUGUUAGCAAUGGCAGAAUCUAGCUGGUCAGUAUAUGAGUGUUCCCCAUACAAUUUUCCUGUAUCUUGAAAUUUUUCAUAAUAAAAGCUCGCGGGCGAGGAGAA